CAGACCUGUGGGGUGGCUAAAGAGGAGUGAGCAGGCAGGAGACAGGAAUGCCAGUCAGCACCCUGCUAGAGAGCUACCUGGGAACAACACCCCAGAAAGAGAUCGUAAUACAAAGGAUCUUCAGUCCCUUAACUCCUUGCCAUUCCUGAUGAUGCCCAUUUUAUCCAGCUAUCCAGUAUGAAUGAUCAAAUGCAGCCUGGACUUCCUCUGCUUUCAAGAAGAUACCAGAGCCCACUCAGCAACCUGAAGGCUCUGAGCCAAUGGUCAAGAGCAACAUGAGACACCCCGGUCCCUGCAGCAGGGGGUCAUUGGUGUGCCCAUGAGUGGCCCUGGGAGAGGAAGGAGUCUGGAGUUUUGAAGGACAUCAUAUUUCUGGAGUUCUUCCCCAUUCUGGUGGUGGUCACCAUCUGGGCUGGGGAGUUCACAUGACAAGAGCGUCAGGUUUUGGUGGGACAAUCAAGUGACUCAACAGCCACUCGGUGAGGGUCCCCUGUUCCUGCACAGGGAUCAUUCCUUCCUAACCGAAUUCUAGUUUGUGGGAGUGUUUAGGAGAGGAAUGUCAUUCUUGGGUUUGCCACUUGUUCCAUAUACAGCCCGCAAGAGGGGCUACCCAUUUGGGCCUGGGUACAUGAGAGAUCCAGGCUAUAGAACACUCACAAUCCAGGGCCUAUAAGUCACAUGUGUGGCUGCCUGAUGGAGGCCUUGUUAGUUGAAACACCAGACAUCAUUGUUAUCCACCUAGGGGAGAACAAGCUGGAACGUGGUCCAGGCGCAAACUGAUUUGGAAGGCUAAGCAGGAUAUUAGACUGUUGGUGGACAUGUUUCCUGGUGUGGGGAUAGUACGGUCAGAGAUGCUGACCCACAGGAUUUGGUGGCCGAUUUGUUCCUGGAUGAUCUUUGUAUUAAGUUGGCCAAACUCUUAGAUAGCCUGUGUGGGGUGAAGGCAGCCAAGCGGACGCUAGCGCUUCCUUGUGUCAGGUGCCCAGUGCAGGACUUGCUGAUUUACAAAUCAAAAAGGUAACAUAGCGGGCAUCCCAAGGGCAUCUCCUUAUGAGAUGGGAGCAUUGUGUCUAAACCCCUGGGGACAAAUGAGAACCAGGAAGUGGGACACUACUUGGGGCAGGAACCACCACACCAAUGUGCUUGAUGGAGGUGCUGCUGUGGGGGACAAUGUCUCCUCUCACCUCAACCCCCGAAAGGGGGAGGGAUGCUAGAGGCUGAGUGGCAGCGUGUGAUGAUUGGCUCCCCCUAAAGUAAGAGCCACCAAGAAUUGACAAAGGAUCAAUGGGGUGCAAGUGACUACAGUGGGCUUUCCCCCAAUGGGAACCUUGGAUGUAAUUUGAGCACACCAAUAAAUGAUGGCUGUAAAGUCUAUGAACUAUUAGAACUCUUGUGUGUAGACAUCAGUUGUAUUACAGGUGUGCUGGGGGAAAAUGGCCUGCAUGUCAAAUUUAAUUGCUACACCAGCAUAGCCUCCUAAUGUAAAUGCAGCUUACAGCGACAGAACAGGGUUUUUUCCCCAGUGCCAUAAGAACAUCACCUCCCCAAGUAUUCUUCCAUUGACUUAGCUGCAUCUAGUCUGUGAGCUAGGUCAGCAUAGCUUUGGUGCUCAGGGGUAUGGAUUUUUCAUACCCCUGAGUGCCGUAAUAUUGUCGACCUAAAUUUUAAGUGAAGUCCAGGCCUCUGUUUAGCUUGCACCAUAUCAGUUUAAUUUACAGGUGCAAGACGAAACCAUAUAAACCAGCUGUAAACUGAUGUAACCAUCUGCAUAGGGGGUUGCACUGAUUCAGUUUUCAAAUCGACUUAAACUGAUGCAACUUCUGUGUGUCGCCAAGUCCUCUCUAAAGAGUUAAAGAACUAUGUUCUGCCAAACUUGGUAACAUUAGGGUUACUCAUUCUGCUCUAUUUUAUGUAAAAGCUUUCCAAUGUGUGGAAAUAGUAACCUAUUAAUUGCUGCCUGACAUCCACUGAAAUUAUGCUAGCACUGAUAGCUGCCAAUGUAUUUGAUUGUUUUCCCUCUGCUGUAGUGUUUGAAAGCAUAGUUAUAUUCUGGAAAGGGACUAGAUCAAAAUGGCUGUGGAUGGGAUCAUGUUGUGGAGUGCAGCUGCUUCAUGGCUUCACUCCUUCCAUGGGUGGGGCUAAACUUGAUGGAACACACCCAAACUUUCAUAAUGCUGCAAAUAAGAGGCUUCCAUGGGUGUGGGGUCCUCUGAAGAGGGAGGCAUGCCACAGAAUUAACUGUCCUCACCUUCCCACUUCCAUGCCCCUCUGACCUGCUCUUUCAAGUUUAGCACCUCUCAACUGGCCAAAGCAAAAAUAGGGGUGGUAAUUUGGGGCUCAAUUGUGAAUCCUGCUGUACUCACAUAACCAACGCCUGUGCAGGGGUGGAGGUGGGUGGGCAGGGAAGAAUGGAGAGAGCAGCUGACAAGCUUCUACACCUUCUCCUAUGCUGGGAGGUGAGGAGUGGGCAGGCAGGGAUCUGUGUCCCCAACCUGCCAGCCAGCACAUCCGAGCUAACAUAGAGGAAGAAGCAGGCAUAAUAUUGUGGCUCUCUGAGCAAUAAGAAACUAAAGCAAGUACUAUAAAGAUAUGAAGGAAAUGUAAGAUAGAUAAGCCUGUCACUAGUCCACUGAAUUUUCUCUGUAAAUAAUGUAACUGGCAUGCAAUAGAUGUAUAUCAAAAAGAGAAAUGGGGCAUUAACAUUUUCAGUAAUCUGUUCACUGUAAGAUUCACAUUCAGCCUUAACCUUAGUGAAAAAAAUAUAUAUCUGAAUCAGAUGCUGACAAAAUGGUUUUAAAUGAAACUGGUGCUCUCAGGUCUGCUGCGCUCACAGAACAUGUCCUGCAGUUUUUAAAAUCUUAAAGAUGUAGUGGAAAGAGAUCCCGCAGUCCUAGUGCACUGUAAAUGCAUUUCUUUGUCAGAUAUUCAAGCCUUGACUAGAAUUAGUAUGCUAUAGAUGUGCUGGUGUGUAGAGUAGUAAAUUCUUUAGCCUCUCACAUUGUUUCAUCUAAUGCAUUUAUAGAAUUAUUAUAGCCUAAUGCCUGAUAUGUCUGUUCUGUUGUCAAGUCCCUACUAACAUUAGUUACUCCAGCUGCAAGAAAGAGUGCAGCACUAACAAGGACAACUUAAACAUUUCUUUAUUUGGGUUUUCAUGGGGCUUAUUUACACUGCUCUGUCCUCUGUGUUUGUACCCUUCCACACCCACUCUGUGCUUCUUAUUUAUGUGCACCUAACUCCUACCAUUAGGUAUACAUAGGAAGAAGCUUUAAUCUAGUCCACAGCAUGGAAGCCAUUAACUCACUUCCAUUUGCCAGUCUUCCACCUUCUAUACCUACUGGCCUAUAUUCCUCCUAUCAGUACAACCAGUGUGAUUAGAAAUAUGUUGGAUCUCUUCUGCUCUCUACCUUCUCCUUUUUUAAGAAGAUUACCAAGAAUGGGUAAUUCCACAGGAAGCUGCAGGUCCUUAGAACCAGGAUUCAUUUGUUUGUAGAUAGUAAGGAGUGGCUUUUAAAAAAGUAAAUCUUUAAAUGGUGUGCUUUGCCCUUGAAAGACACCAGUGUGUCUCAAUGAUGCCUUGGUAAAAGUGUUAGAAUUAUGCUAGGACCCAUUAGUUCAAGAAGAACUCUCAGUAUUUCUCAAAAUGGCACUUCAGGUUAAAUGCUAACAGGCUUCUUUAGUUCCGUCAGCUCCAUUGCGAUACCACACAUGUGUUAUAUUGGGAUCCAUUAUGACUCCACAAAACUCAGAACAAUAGAAAAGAGAUGGUUUCCCCACACCCUUAUAAAAGAAACUGGGAUUUUUAGGAUGAUAAAAAAAGUCUCAUUCAUUUUUGGAGUGAGGCCAUUUACUCACACACAAUAUGGUGCUCACACUUGCUACCCCAACAUAUUCUUGGUCUCUAGUUACUCCGUGUGUGUCUGAUAAUAUUACAUAGUCACAGGUGCUCACAGUUGGGUUUUUUUCAUUCUUCUAAUUCAUCUUUAGUUGUAGAGUUAUAAUAAUUGUUCAUUGUAUCUGGGAUAGAGGAA